rnacentral:rRNA from 1 species
UACGGAGGGUGCAAGCGUUACCCGGAAUCACUGGGCGUAAAGGGCGUGUAGGCGGGAACUUAAGUCUGGUUUUAAAGACCGGGGCUCAACCUCGGGAAUGGACUGGAUACUGGGUUUCUUGAUCUCUGGAGAGGUAACCGGAAUUUCUGGUGUAGCGGUGGAAUGCGUAGAUACCAGAAGGAACACCAAUGGCGAAGGCAGGUUACUGGACAGAAGAUGACGCUGAGGCGCGAAAGUGUGGGGAGCGAACCGGAUUAGAUACCCCCGUAGUCC